ACUUUCAAAGGAUAGUAGUAAUCCAAUGGUCUUAGGAACCACAAACCUUGGUGCAAAUCCAAGUGAAAGUA
rnacentral:tRNA from 1 species